rnacentral:lncRNA from 1 species
CCGAAGCGACUCUCGCCACCACCACCAUUCACGGUCAUCAUCAUCGCAUCAAAGCCGUGAAGGAGUUUGAUUAGGUAUAAUUUUUUUCUAUCAUUGAGUACCAUUAAAGGUUUUGACUUUGAUUGUGUAGUUUGACUUUGUGAUCACUAUUAUUUCCAUAUCCAAGAAUCAAGCUGCAUGAUCGAAUUCAAAAUCUUCAAUAAUGAUGCAUGGUAUGAUGACACAACUGAAAAGCAAACAAGAGUUGGAAAAUCAUUUAUCUAAAUAAAUUUGAUGUGGCUAUAAUGAAAAGAAAGAAAAUAGAUCCCAUCUUACUGAAUUUAGAGAAUACAUUGAUAUGCAUGGAAUGAAUAAUACUAUGUUCUUGGUGUAUCAAGAUUUCAUAUGUGUAAUGAAUGCCUUCGUGUUCAAUUAAAGAGACGAAACUUAAUGGUUAGCUCUCAGUAUACAAAUUAGCAUAAUUUGUUUAAGAUUGAUAUGAUGUUUUAUGGCAUUUCCUCUAGUACAAGCAAAAAAAAUUAUGGGUCAAAUACAUGAGUGACAUGUACCAAUAGGAAAAUUACACCUGGAUUAUUUAAUAAUAAUAUGAUGGACUUCUUUAAACUCUAAAUCAACCCUAUAGAUUUAUUGUAAUUAUAAACUAACCCCAGAACCUUCUGUUUUUCGAAUUCAAUCCUUCUGGUAAUGUGUCCCCUUCACUUGCACGCCUCUUCCACUCUCUUCUCCUCCCAG